rnacentral:lncRNA from 1 species
GCCAUUCCUUCUCUGUGGCCUGGAGACAGGUUUUUCCAAAACUCCUCCCCUGGCUCAGGCAAACACACCUGACCUUUCUCUCGCUGGGCCCAGGGUGAGGCAGAGCAGCCAGGAACAAGGUGGGGUGAACCAGACAGAGCUGGAGUGCUCUCCCACCCCUGCUCUGCCCAGCCACCCCGCCAAGCCCAUGAUUCCAGGCAGGGUAAGGCCCUCCUCCCAGAGGAAGGGGCCAACAGUCCAGUGACCUUGGCGUGCGCUUCGCCUGGCACUCCCCUCACAUUGCUCCCUACAGCUUGCACUCUGCCUCUGACUCUCUUCCAAGAACAAUUGGACAAGCUCUAAUCUACAUCUUGCAAAAAAAAAAAAAAAAAAAACCCAGGAGAGGUAGGAGGGCCACAGCACCUGGGGUCCCAGAAGGCAGACUGACACCUAUUCCUACUGUGGGGCUACAAACCAGUGCCACAUGCCUGGAGGCUGAGUGGACACUCCUGGUCUUCCUCAAGGAGAUGUGUAGCACUCUGAGCUCUGAUCCAGUUGAUCUGUGUGAAGUCCUCAGACAAACACAUAACCAUUCAACUCCCACAGGAGGCUUCUUGGAGCACGGUCCAGCUAGUUCGUCUUGA